UUACUCUACUCUCUUCAUAAAUCUUUCGCCUUUUAUAAAGAUUUCCGUGGAAGGGUCAAUUAAUGAGUCUAAACCUAAUUUUGGAAUGCCUGGCGUAAGCCGGGCA
rnacentral:snRNA from 1 species